UACAGAGGUGCUCAAGCGUUGUUCGGAUUUACUAGGGCGUAAAGGCGCGUAGGCGGCCAGCGCAAGUCAGUUGUGGAAAUCUCCGGGCUUAACUCGGAAAGGUCAACUGAUACUGCGCGGCUAGAGUGCAGAAGGGGCAACUGGAAUUCUCGGUGUAGCGGUGAAAUGCGUAGAUAUCGAGAGGAACACCUGCGGCGAAGGCGGGUUGCUGGGCUGACACUGACGGCUGGAUGACGGCGAAAGCCCAGGGGAGCGAACGGG
rnacentral:rRNA from 1 species